rnacentral:lncRNA from 1 species
GGCAGGUGGGGUGAUGAAUAAGCGGAGGGCCUUCAAUGGCCGAGAGUUGUGUGGGAGGAAGCUGUCUAUGUGGACUAGGAUGUUGGUACGUUUGGUCUUUACUGGCCUUUGUCCCAGGUUGGAGAUGGAAAGCUGGUUGGGUGGAUGUGUGGGUGUGGCCUUUCUAGGCGGAGAAUUUGUCGGUGUUGGUAUGGGCUCAGGUGUUUAAGAUGUUGGUAUGUGUGGUCUUUACAGGCCUUUGUCCCAAGUUGGACAUGGAAAGCUGGUUGGGUGGAUGUGUGGGUGUAGCCUUUCUAGGUCGAGUAUUUGCCGAUGUUGGUAUGGGCUCGGGUGUGUAGGUGGGGUCUUUACAAGUCGUUGCCCCAGAUGUAUUAAGGGAUAACCAACUGAGUGAUGUGUGUGGGUGGCCUCUCCAAGCCGGAAGAGUGGAAGGUAUGGAUGUGUGAUCGAUCGGUAAAGACUGAUUGAUUCUGAUACUGAGAUUGAGUAGUGGACGUACGUGAACUGUGAGUGUGUUUAUGACUGUAACUACGAGUGUGGUAGGAGUAUUUCAGUGUUAGUAGGAAUAAGCAGUAUGUGCAAUUGAUUGGAUAUAUGUAACGAAAUUCUAGGGAAAUGGCCAUCUUAGGACAGAGAUGGGAGAAUGGAUGGGUGGGAGUGAGGGUUUAAGUGAGGAGUGUUGGGGUGGAAAAUUUCUUAGUUUCUAUACUGUAGUUUUAAGUUUUAUAUUUUUUUACUAAACCUAUUGAUGUUCAUUACUGUUGUUUUUAAAUGUGUUAGAUUCGAAGUCGAAAUCAGAAUGCAUAGCAAUAGAGUCUCAUACUUAAGUAGGAAUGCACGCAAGUAUAAGAUGCUUAUUUUGUACACAUUAAUGCACACACUGUACCAAUUUUGAAAUUAUAGUUGUUGUAAUAUCGAACUAUGCGAAUUGAUUAUGUAAUGGACAUGAGGUGAUUAUUACUUUUGAAUAAUGAAAU